ACAAAGGUGGUAUUUACUACCACCAACAGCAUCAAAAGUGUAUAUU
rfam:Marine bacterium AO1-C Bin2_contig__5_len_1010206_cov_96.9797_ID_9, whole genome shotgun sequence.